rnacentral:rRNA from 1 species
ACAGCAGUCGCCACGGGAAUACGAAGGGGGCUAGCGUUGUUCGGAAUUACUGGGCGUAAAGCGCACGCAGGCGGCUCGAUAAAUUAGAAGUGAAAGCCUUGGGCUUAACCUGAGAAUUGCUUUUAGGACUGUCGAGCUAGAAUCCAGAAGAGGGUAGUGGAAUUCCGAGUGUAGAGGUGAAAUUCGUAGAUACUCGGAAGAACACCAGUGGCGAAGGCGACUACCUGGUCUGGCAUUGACGCUCAUGUGCGAAAGCGUGGGGAGCAAACAGGAUUAGAUACCCGCGUAGUCCCUGUCUCUUAUAU